rfam:Enterobacter cloacae S611 EDP2.NODE_1920, whole genome shotgun sequence.
GUUUGAUAAAUCAUUAUCUCCAGCCAGUAGUCCACUAAAGUCUCUCUCAUCUCUAAGUACCUCGAUAGUUACUUCUUUUUGGGUCUCUUUACACGCUGAUAAAUAAUGCUUCAGACCAUUGCCGCCUAAAAAGGCCUAUAAAACAAGAGGGUAACAAACAUGUCUAAUAAAAUGACUGGUAUCGUAAAAUGGUUCAACGCUGAGAAAGGCUUUGGCUUCAUCACUCCUAAAGAUGGCAGCAAAGAUGUAUUCGUACACUUCUCUGCAAUCCAGAGCGAUAACUACCGCACUCUUGAUGAAAAUCAGGAAGUUGAAUUCACCAUUGAAAAUGGUGCGAAAGGCCCAGCCGCUGCUAACGUAGUGCCGCGCUAAGGACGAUUUUAUUACGAACCAUAUCCAUUUCCGCUGCCCGUGCUGCCACGGGUCGCAAUAC